rnacentral:rRNA from 1 species
GCAAAGGUAGCAUAAUAAUUUGCCUCUUAAUUAGAGGCUGGAAUGAACGGACCUUCUUUGUUCCCCUGUCUCUACCUUACCUCUAAAACUUGAUAUUUAAGUGCAGAAGCUUAAAUCAUCCAGCAGGACCAAAAGACCCUAUAGAGCUUCAUAAAAGACCUAAUCUAUAUAGCCAUCUUUUAUUUCAUUGGGGCGAUGACAGAGCAAACCCUCUUACCUUAUAUAGAGACUCACCUCAAAUUGACAUGCCCUACAAGGGAUUUAGAAAAAGCUACCUUAGGGAUAACAGUCUAAUUUUCCUCAAUAGCCCACAUCUACAGGAAAGAUUGGCAC